AUACGGAGGGUGCAAACGUUGUUCGGAAUUACUGGGCGUAAAGCGCGCGUAGGCGGUUUGUUAAGUCAGAUGUGAAAGUCCACAGCUCAACUGUGGAAGUGCAUUUGAAACUGGCGGACUUGAGUACUGGAGGGGGUGGUGGAAUUCCCGGUGUAGAGGUGAAAUUCGUAGAUAUCGGGAGGAAUACCGGUGGCGAAGGCGACCACCUGGCCAGAUACUGACGCUGAGGUGCGAAAGCGUGGGGAGCAAACAGGAUUAGAUACCCUAGUAGUCC
rnacentral:rRNA from 1 species